UACUUAUCCAGAAAGACAGAGGGAAAGGCCCUAUGACGUCUUAGCAACCUGUACCGGCUACAAAAUAGUUGGGUAAAAGGUGCUAACUCCUGCUCCAUUUAAAAUGGGGAAAGAUAAGAU
rnacentral:ncRNA from 2 species